rnacentral:rRNA from 1 species
UACGAAGGGGGCUAGCGUUGCUCGGAAUCACUGGGCGUAAAGCGCACGUAGGCGGGUCUUUAAGUCAGGGGUGAAAUCCUGGAGCUCAACUCCAGAACUGCCUUUGAUACUGAGGAUCUCGAGUCCGGGAGAGGUGAGUGGAACUCCGAGUGUAGAGGUGAAAUUCGUAGAUAUUCGGAAGAACACCAGUGGCGAAGGCGGCUCACUGGCCCGGUACUGACGCUGAGGUGCGGAAAGCGUGGG